UACGGAGGGCGCAAGCGUUACUCGGAAUCACUGGGCGUAAAGAGCGUGUAGGCGGAUUAAUAAGUCAGAAGUGAAAUCCAAUAGCUUAACUAUUGAACUGCUUUUGAAACUGUUGAUCUAGAGUGUGGGAGAGGUAGAUGGAAUUUCUGGUGUAGGGGUAAAAUCCGUAGAUAUCAGAAGGAAUACCGAUUGCGAAGGCGAUCUACUGGAACAUAACUGACGCUGAGACGCGAAAGCGUGGGGAGCAAACAGG
rnacentral:rRNA from 1 species